UACGAGAGGCCCAAACGUUAUUCGGAAUUACUGGGCUUAAAGAGUUCGUAGGCGGCGCAGAAAGUAGGGUGUGAGAGCCCUCGGCUCAACCGAGGAAUUGCGCUCUAAACUGCUGUGCUUGAGGGACCUAGAGGUGAGCAGAACUGAUGGUGGAGCGGUGAAAUGCGUUGAUAUCAGGAGGAACACCUGUGGCGAAAGCGGCUCACUGGACCAUAACUGACGCUGAUGCACGAAAGCUAGGGGAGCAAACAGG
rnacentral:rRNA from 1 species